AAUUGGGUAGUCCGUACGAGCGCACCUUAUCCUUAGUUGCCAGCACAUAAUGGUGGGGACUCUAGGGAGACUACCGGUGUCAAACCGGAGGAAGGCGGGGACGACGUCAAGUCAUCAUGGUCCUUACGCCCAGGGCCACAAACGUGCUACAAUGGUCGGUACAAUGAGCAGCAAAGCCGUGAGGUGGAGCAAAUCUCAAAAAGCCGGCCCCAGUUCGGAUUGAAGGCUGCAAUUCGCCUUCAUGAAGUCGGAAUCGCUAGUAAUCGCAGAUCAGCCAUGCUGCGGUGAAUGUGUUCCUGAGCCUUGUACACACCGCCCGUCAAGCCACCCAAAUGGACCGCACCCGAAGUCGCUACCCUAACCGUAAGGAGGGGGGUGCCGAAGGUGAGGUUCGUGAGGGGGACUAAGUCGUAACAAGGUAGCCGUAGGGGAACCUGCGGCUGGAUCACCUCCUUUCU
rnacentral:rRNA from 1 species